rnacentral:misc_RNA from 1 species
GAUGAAGAACGUAGCGAAAUGCGAUAAGUAAUGUGAAUUGCAGAAUUCAGUGAAUCAUCGAAUCUUUGAACACACAUUGCGCCCGCCAGUAUUCUGGCGGGCAUGCCUGUUCGAGCGUCAUUUCAACCCUCAAGCCCCCGGGCUUGGUGUUGGGGAUCGGCGUGCCCUCGCGGCGCGCCGUCCCCUAAAUCUAGUGGCGGUCUCGCUGUAGCUUCCUCUGCGUAGUAGCAACACUCGCACUGGAUCGCAGCGCGGCCACGCCGUUAAACCCCCCACUUCUGAAAGUUUGACCUCGGAUCAGGUAGGAAUACCCGCUGAACUUAAGCAUAUCAAUAAGCGGAGGA